rnacentral:rRNA from 1 species
GCAGCAGCCGCGGGAAUACAGAGGGUGCGAGCGUUAAUCGGAUUUACUGGGCGUAAAGCGUGCGUAGGCGGCUUCUUAAGUCGGAUGUGAAAUCCCUGAGCUUAACUUAGGAAUUGCAUUCGAUACUGGGAAGCUAGAGUAUGGGAGAGGAUGGUAGAAUUCCAGGUGUAGCGGUGAAAUGCGUAGAGAUCUGGAGGAAUACCGAUGGCGAAGGCAGCCAUCUGGCCUAAUACUGACGCUGAGGUACGAAAGCAUGGGGAGCAAACAGGAUUAGAUACCCCUGUAGUCCCUGUCUCUUAUAA